GUGAGUAACACGUGGAUGAUCUACCCUCUAGUGGGGAAUAACCCUGGGAAACCGGGGCUAAUACCGCAUAAGCACGAGAGUGGAAAGCAGCAAUGCGCUGGAGGAGGAGUCCGCGGCCGAUUAGCUAGUUGGCAGGGUAAAAGCCUACCAAGGCAAAGAUCGGUAGCCGGCCUGAGAGGGCACACGGCCACACUGGCACUGAAACACGGGCCAGACUCCUACGGGAGGCAGCAGUGGGGAAUCUUGCACAAUGGGGGAAACCCUGAUGCAGCGACGCCGCGUGAGCGGUGAAGCCCUUCGGGGUGUAAAGCUCUUUCGGCAGGGAAGAUGAUGACGGUACCUGCAGAAGCAGCUGCGGCUAACUACGUGCCAGCAGCCGCGGUAAUACGUAGGCAGCAAGCGUUGUUCGGAGUUACUGGGCGUAAAGGGUGUGUAGGCGGUUGUUUAAGUUUGGUGUGAAAUCUCCCGGCUCAACCGGGAGGGUGCGCCGAAUACUGAAUGACUCGAGUGCGGGAGAGGAGAGUGGAAUUCCUGGUGUAGCGGUGAAAUGCGUAGAUAUCAGGAGGAACACCGGUGGUGUAGACGGCUCUCUGGACCGUAACUGACGCUGAGACACGAAAGCGUGGGUAGCAAACAGGAUUAGAUACCCUGGUAGUCCACGCCCUAAACGAUGCAUAUUUGGUGUGGGCAGUUCAUUCUGUCCGUG
rnacentral:rRNA from 1 species